ensembl:lncRNA
GAUGCUUUUGGACCAUAACUCGUAGCAGCCCUAGCCAAUAUACCCAACAGCGAAAAACACAUAGAGUGGGCAUGGCAGAGAAACAUUGUCCACCCCUGAAUUAAAGACGCGCUUUAGUCACACAGACCCAAUAUGUGCCUCACUUCAAACAUAGGUCAUGCUUUCGCGAAGGCUUUCACGGCCAGGAUCUAAUGGUUGUUGUGGGUUUUUCGUGCCCUUUGGCCAUGUUCUGAAGGUUGUUCUUCCUGACGUUUCGCUAGUCUCUGUGGCCGGCAUCUUCAGAGGACUGGAAUAGGAACUCUGUCCACAGAGANNNNNNNNNNNNNNNNNNNNNNNNNNNNNNNNNNNNNNNNNNNNNNNNNNNNNNNNNNNCAACAACCAAUAGGUCAUGCUUUCUUAUUUGUAAAAAUGGAAGGAGAGUGAAAAGCGUUGAGGCAGACUUCUAGAAAUGAAGAAUUGACUCAAAGACAGAGGCCCCAGACUUCUGUUAAAACUGAGGACCAGGCUUGUUUUCUUCCUAUCAAAGCAAAAGUGCCCGACAGAAAGAGAAACAUUAAUAAAGUUAAGUGACAUAACUAGUCCAGCUGAGAGAAGGAGGACUUGGGGACUUUCCAAUUUGCCUGAAGAAGCGUUAACGAAGGAACUCUGGAGAGCAUCCUCCAAGACAAGAUGCAAUAUCCUGGAACGGCCAUAAUUAAUGUCUUACCACAUCAGCCAAUGGGAGAAAAAAGAGGAAGAAAAGUUGCUUCCAGCUGUUGCUUUGUCCAUCACACAACAUCAGGGCACAGGAUGUGUGCCUUUCAAGCAAGCGGGAACACACAGACAAAUGCAUGCAGAAGAAAAUCUCAUUUCAACCUUAAAUGGUGCUUCAGAAUUUCCAAUUCACACUGUUGCCAUUUUCAUAGGAAUUGAUGGCUGCCUUUGUUAUCGAAGCUGACAGGCCUCUGGCAUCACUCAUUUUUAUUUCUCAUUUGACAUGGCUUCUCCACUCUUCUGCUGCUGGAGUGCUGAGAUAAAACAACUCAUUGAAAGCCAAAGGAACAACAGCUUCGAUCUACUCCAGAGGCAGCUGGCUCUGCCAUUUCUUCCCUCAGCCUUUUAAAUCCAAGUGCUUAUGCUCAAGUUCACAGAAACGGAGCUGUGGGUAUUUUCGGAGCUAAGUUUGCAAGACAGUGGACUAAUGCCAGACUGAGCUCCUGUUUUAGGUGACAAAUUGUCAAUUUCACAUUCCUAAGUGCUUCUGAUUAUUCCAGUUCUCCUGGGAUGGUCACUUUCCAAGUCCUGAGAAUGAUUCUCUACCUAGGAGAUGACUACCUUGGCAAAUAAUAUGGAAAUUGCUCCAGGAUUGGGACAGUCAUACUUGCAUUGUUUUCCAUUGACUACAUGACAUAUUUGUUGAAGUGUCUCUCCCUCAGAAUGUUCUUCACAGGCCUUGCUUCUCCCAGUCACUGUGCUGAGAGAGGCUAAGAAGAUGGUCAUCAGGCAUCGUGGUUCUCGGCCAUGGUUCCCACCUUAUGGAAUGGGUUCCUAGUGGAGGUUGUCAGACAUCUUCCCUCCCUUCUUUUAAGAGGAUGCUUGAGACACAAGUGUUUUGAGAAGCAUUUUAGGGCAUCAUCCCUUACAUUAUUUUACAAGUGUUCCCAUAGUGCGUCAUCACUUGCGGGUCUUAUUUAGUUAUUGCAUUUGUGUACUUAAAAUUGUCUUUUGUUGAUCUGUUGAUGUUUGGGGUCAUUGUUAUUAUUUGUAAAUUGCUUAGAGUAGUGUUAUACAUUGUCAGUGACAGACAGACAGACAGACAGACAGACAGACAGACAGACAUCUCUUUCUUGGGUCACAUCUUAAUGUGGUGAAAGCGUUUGAGUGUGUCAGUGAAGCUGAGAGCAAUGCCGUCAGGAAAUCACACUCCAUUAUGAGCCUGGACUCCUAGCAGAGUCACCCAUGACAGAAUGGUCAUGGCUGAGACAUCAGACUAAGAUGCAUCCACCCUCUUCAAGAAAGCUACUGGGCAGCAGUGGUAGUUGAAGGAGAAAGCAAUGGUAGUGACACUCAAGCUAACUUUUGUUAGUACUGGGAGAAUGUGGCAAUGUUCAAACCAAUGCUGAACUUUUCUUACCAUGAAAAUCCUCUGAUGAGACAGUCAAAAAUGAAAUAAGAGAUAAUGCUGGAAGAUGAGACUUCCAAUUCAGAAAGCACUCAAUUGGCUACUGGAGAUAAGUUGCUGGUUUGGAUUUGAUUAAUUAUUUAUUACUUAUUAUUUGGAUAUAUUAUAUAUAUACUUAUUCUGUUAUGGCUCUCCAGUUUGGUUCUAGUUAUUGACAGAGGUCAGCUGUGGGUUGCCAUUUUUGUUUUUUCUCUAUUCUUCUCUCUGUUCAUAUCAUUUGAUUAGGUUACUGAGAAUAUUUCUUUGAAUAUUUUUAAAUUUCAUUGUAUGGUUUGUUUUAUGUUUUGUAAACCACCAUAAGUAGUGAUUUCAAUAAGCUGAGUCAUCUAUAAGCCUUAUAAAUGUCAUAUUUUAAAUAAAAUGAAAUAUUAAAAAGACA